rnacentral:rRNA from 1 species
GACAGAGGAUGCAAGCGUUAUCCGGAAUGAUUGGGCGUAAAGCGUCUGUAGGUGGCUUUUAAGUCCGCCGUCAAAUCCCAGGGCUCAACCUUUGAAAGCCGGUGGAUACUGCAUGGCUAGAGUACGGAAGAGGCGAGUGGAAUUCCUGGUGUAGCGGUGGAAUGCGCAGAUAGUCAGGAGGAACACCAAUAGCGAAGGCAGCUCGCUGGGACGUUACUGACACUAAGGCGCGAAAGCGUGGGGAGCGAACAGG